AUUAUUUGAGAAGGUGGUCAUAAGAAGAAGCAAAUGUGAACCUGUGUUUCAUGUUACAAAACAAGUAGCAGCUAAGAAGGAAAAACCAGAAUCUUGCUGCUCUGAAUCGGAUUUGAUAGUGAUUCCGAGAAACUGCUGCUACAUCUAAAAAGGUUGCAGCUCCUUUAACUAAGAAUGGAAAUUUCAAGAAGAAAACGAAUCAAGUACUGAUGAUAGUUCAGAUGAUUCAAGCUCU